CGAUCGACAAAACCAGACGCGAUUGUGUUUUCUUGCAAGCCAUAAAUUCAAAGGAAUCUGUGUUGAUCUGUGCUAGUGCCUAGUGAAAACAAUAAUCAACCAAGGACAAAGGUCAGGAGCCCUAUCUUUCUUAGCAGCCUAAGUGCGCAUAAGUGCAUAUACGAGAGGCGUAUCACCGAAGUCAUCCCCAAAUCCACAAGGGGUAUAAUUCGAUUCCCCCCUCUUCUGCUCCGAAACGCCGAGCAUCGAAAACCUCUGACUUGGGUCAACUUUAGUGAGGCGUAGCAUCCCUUAGGAAGCUCAGCGCGUUAGGCGGCGCCUCGGAACCUUUCACCAGCGCCACUGAGACCACCAGUUUGUCGCGCACUUUAGUGCUUAUGUAAGCGGCAGAUCGACAUCAAGCCGGAUGUUCCACAUUUUAGCCCAGUGUCCAGAGCUAGAACAUUGGGCGUGAUUUUGACGGACCUGACUACAGAGGAGCCACUGCCAACAGCAGGACAGAUGUCCGGAGUUAUGCUGUGUUAAUUUGCACAUUUUCUGGGACUAAGUUCAAUAUGCCAUUUUAAGGCCAAUUCUCUGGCGGUUACGUAUAUGUAUAUUCAAGCAUCGGGAAUCAUGAGUGUUUGUAGAAAAGAGUGGAUACCAGCACCUACGUCAUCCUUGAGCUCAACGAUUACGAAAGGAGUAAGGGUAUUAGAAUACCAAAACCAAAAGAAAACUGUGAGUUUGUAAACUUAAAACCAUAUAUGCACAGAGUAUAAACGUAACCUGCGUGUUA